rnacentral:rRNA from 1 species
UGACCUCGGAUCAGGUAGGAAUACCCGCUGAACUUAAGCAUAUCAAUAAGCGGAGGAAAAGAAACCAACAGGGAUUGCCUUAGUAACGGCGAGUGAAGCGGCAACAGCUCAAAUUUGAAAUCUGGCCCCCAGGCCCGAGUUGUAAUUUGUAGAGGAUGCUUCUGGCGACGCGCCUUCCGAGUUCCCUGGAACGGGACGCCAAAGAGGGUGAGAGCCCCGUCCGGUCGUGCGCCUAGCCUCUGUGAAGCUCCUUCGACGAGUCGAGUAGUUUGGGAAUGCUGCUCUAAAUGGGAGGUAUACGUCUUCUAAAGCUAAAUACCGGCCAGAGACCGAUAGCGCACAAGUAGAGUGAUCGAAAGAUGAAAAGCACUUUGAAAAGAGGGUUAAAUAGUACGUGAAAUUGCUGAAAGGGAAGCGCUUAUGACCAGACUUGGGCUUGGUGAAUCAUCCGGCGUUCUCGCCGGUGCACUUUGCCGGUCCAGGCCAGCAUCAGUUCGUCCCGGGGGAUAAAGGCUUCGGGAACGUAGCUCUUUCGGGAGUGUUAUAGACCGUUGCGUAAUACCCUGGGGUGGACUGAGGUACGCGUUCUGCAAGGAUGCUGGCGUAAUGGUCAUCAGUGACCCGUCUUGAACAA